AGCGAACGCUGGCGGCAGGCCUAACACAUGCAAGUCGAACGGAUCCUUCGGGAUUAGUGGCGGACGGGUGAGUAACACGUGGGAACGUGCCCUUGGGUUCGGAACAACUCAGGGAAACUUGAGCUAAUACAGGAUGUGCCCUUCGGGGGAAAGAUUUAUCGCCAUUGGAGCGGUCCGCGUCUGACUAGCUAGUUGGUGAGGUAAAGGCUCACCAAGGAGACGAUCAGUAGCUGGUCUGAGAGGAUGAUCAGCCGCAUUGGGACUGAGACACGGCCCAAACUCCUACGGGAGGCAGAAGUGGGGAAUCUUGCGCAAUUGGCGAAAGCCUGACGCAGCCAUGCCGCGUGAAUGAUGAAGGUCUUAGGAUUGUAAAAUUCUUUCACCGGGGACGAUAAUGACGGUACCCGGAGAAGAAGCCCCGGCUAACUUCGUGCCAGCAGCCGCCGCGGUAA
rnacentral:rRNA from 1 species